rnacentral:rRNA from 1 species
UACGUAGGUGGCAAGCGUUGUCCGGAAUUAUUGGGCGUAAAGCGCGCGCAGGCGGCCUUUUAAGUCUGAUGUGAAAGCCCACGGCUCAACCGUGGAAGGGCAUUGGAAACUGAAAGGCUUGAGUACAGAAGAGGAAAGCGGAAUUCCACGUGUAGCGGUGAAAUGCGUAGAGAUGUGGAGGAACACCAGUGGCGAAGGCGGCUGUCUGGUCUGUAACUGACGCUGAGGCGCGAAAGCGUGGGGAGCAAACAGG